rnacentral:lncRNA from 1 species
UGGAAACUAACCCAAAUUUUGGCCGCCCUAGCAAGAGUAUGAGCAAUCAAAUUCGCUUGUCUCGUAACAAACUUAACCUCAAAGUUUACAUUAGAAGAUGACAUAAGAGGAAUAAUGUCAUUAAUAAUUGAAUUAAACUCUGAAUUGUCUGGUCUUCUCGAAUGGAUAGCGUCAAUCAACAACUCUGAAUCGCUUUCAAAUUGAACUUGCUCAAAUCCACGAUGAAUAACCUCUUUCAUUGCAUGUAAUAGAGCCCAUGCUUCCCCUUCCACUACUGAGUAAACAGGCUGCUGCCAUUGACUCAAACCAGCCACAAAUUGCCCAUUGGUAUUGCGAAAACAAAGGCUCAUAGAAGUCACACCGGA